UGCUUCUGUAAACUGGGUUAGCAAGGGCGCUCCUAAGACUCUGUGACCGUGAGUCCACGCAGUCUGUGGACAUCGAGCACACACCACACAGCCUGUGGACAUCGAGCACACACCACACAGGCUGUGUUGAUGCUUUCCAGGGCUCCAGGGCUUGUUAAGAAAAUGGCAGGCAGAGUUACUCAUAUAAGAACGUGAGGACAGGGACACUACUUUGCAAAUAAGGAACAAGACUUAAAAAGAAAUGAACCAUAGCAGCUUUUUGGCUGUUAUUCCCAAUAGCCAAAAAGUGGAAGCACCCCAAUGCCUGGACAGACGAACAGAUUAACAAUUGGAAAAAAACAUCCAUACAAUGGAAUAUUAGUCAGCCUUUAAAAAGAAGGACAUUUAGAUGCCUGCUACAAUAUGGGUGAACUUUGAGUAGCAAAGGAUGCUUACUGGGUGAUUUCAGUUAUAUAAGGUUCCUAGAGCCUCAAAGCCAUAGAGAGACAGGAGAACUCUAUUAACUCCUUCCCAGGGCAGCUUCCCCAUGACCUAACCACCUCUACCAGGCCCUGACCCUUAAAGGUUUACAUCUCAGUGUUACCACACUGGGGACCAAGAUUUCAACCCACUAGGGGACACACUUAAAACACAUCCAAACCCCACUGGUGGCCCAGAAUGAGCAGAAUUCCUGUUCAAGGUCAGGGACCCUGAGGGGGCUGCUGAGUGUGGAAGGCAGGAGAGGCAGGGCAGCAGGGGUUCCCACCACCAAGGUCUAGCGCUCUUAGGAUCAGUCACCUGCCGACUUUUGCAUGUGGAACGCAGAGGCUCCGAGAAGCCCCAUCGCCUGCCUUUCCUGCUCUGGGCAGGCUCUGUGCCAGGUGCUUACCUGGGGGUCAUCUCAUUUACGGUCACUUCUUUCUGGAAGAUGCUAGCAUCCUGCCAAAGAGACUUAAGCAUUGUAAUCAGACUUUGAAAUAAUUAUGGCAUGUAAAUAUAAUAUAAUAUCCAUCUUAAUAAAUGAC
rnacentral:lncRNA from 1 species